rnacentral:rRNA from 1 species
AACGAACGCUGGCGGCAGGCUUAACACAUGCAAGUCGAACGCACCGCAAGGUGAGUGGCAGACGGGUGAGUAACGCGUGGGAACCUACCCCUUGGUACGGGAUAGCUCCGGGAAACUGGAGAUAAUACCGUAUGUGACCUGAGGGUCAAAGAUUCACCGCCAAGGGAUGGGCCCGCGUCGGAUUAGCUUGUUGGUGGGGUAACGGCCUACCAAGGCGACGAUCCGUAGCUGGUCUAAGAGGAUGAUCAGCCACAUUGGGACUGAGACACGGCCCAAACCCCUACGGGAGGCAGCAGUGGGGAAUAUUGGACAAUGGGCGCAAGCCUGAUCCAGCCAUGCCGCGUGAGUGAUGAAGGCCCUAGGGUUGUAAAGCUCUUUCACCGGGGAUGAUAAUGACGGUACCCGGAGAAGAAGCCCCGGCUAACUUCGUGCCAGCAGCCGCCGUAA